GCCACAGCUUCCCAAACUUGGGAUUACAGGCAUGAGCCACCAUACCCGGCGCUCCUCCUUUCUUACAGCUACAUAGUCAUUCAGUUUAUUUAUCCAGUCCCUUACUGAUGGACAUUUAGUUUGUUUCUGAUAUUUUGCUUCGCAAACAAGAACAUCUAAUACACUUAGUGCACAUGUAUGAGUGUUUCUUGAGGAUUUAUUCCUAGAAGAGAGAUUGCUGGCUCAAAAUAUGUAUGAAUUUUUCAUUUUGAAAAAUACUGCCAAGUUGGAGUGGAGAACUUUUUUCUGUGAAGGAGCCCUCCAUCCCUAGAGCUGAACCAGUGAUGAAAGGCACUCCGGGUAGAAAGAGCAUGGACUUUCCAUUCAGAUGUAUUUGGGUUCAAAUCCCAGUUCUGCCACCUUUUUCCUGUGUGACCUUGGUUAAGUCACUUAACCUCUCUGAUUUUCUGUUUCCUUAACUGCCCAGUGGAAAUAGUAAGAGCCGCCUCACAAAGCUGUUGCAAGGAUCAAAUGGCAUCUUGUAGGUCAAUCCUCUAGCGUGGGCCUGGUACGCAGUAGGCUCUUGGCCCAUGUUAGUUUCCUUUCCCUGACUGAACCCUUUUCUGCAUCCAUCAUGGAAGACAAGCUCUGGGGAGUGGCUGGGGAAGGUGAUUUAUUAAUGAACGUCACACAGAAGUCAGGACUCCACAGUGGCUCCUUCUAAAGGUCACCUCUAAAGGCAACUCUUAGAGGUAAGGACCAUUUCACGUAAAGUUGUAAGGAUCUGCUUUUGAGAACAUAGGCUAGGGUGCCGACAGAGAUCAGACCUUACUGGAGGACCUCUUCCUAAAUGAUCCCUUCAUCCCAGACACUGCCCUCCAUGCCUCAGUCUCUGCAGAAGAGGAGAAAGAGAAUCCUCCUCAACAAGAGGAGGGUGGCUGGCUUUUACACAGGGAGUGGCUAGACUGGUCUCUUCGCAGAGAAUAGAACCAGAAAACAGACAUCAGACAGACUGAGGUCGGGCAGCAGGGUGGCAUUUCUGUCUUGGACACACAGCAUGAGUGUGAGGGAAGCAGCAGGGUGCCCCACUGGAGGUCCCUACCCAGGAUGGCCUAUCCAUCUCCGUGUCUUGGUUCAGCGGGAGAGGUCUGGAAAUCCUUUGGAGGUGGUGGCCAGAUUGCAUCCAUAGUCCCAGCCAGACCCUCAGCAAUGCCAAGAGCCUCUUAGCUGCAGGUCACUGUGCUCCACUGUCUGUAGGCCACUGCCCCACCUUCAGGGCUAUAGUUUCUUUCUUCUGGAAACCACACAGGACAUGAGAAUCCCAGACUGGGCUGCCCUUCCUGGAAGAGGAUGUGUGUGUGAGCCCAGCAGCCGCUGUGAUGGGGCCCGAGGUGGUGAUACUGGCAAAAAAAAGGGGGAGCUAAGCAGCAUGGUGGUAGCAGUGGUGACAAGGCCUCCAGUACAUGUAGCCAUGAUGAGUGACACUCAGUAGGGUAGGCUGUGGUGCCUUUAUCCAGAGUCUAAAUGCUUGCUUUCAGUUCCACCUCCAUAUAUUACAUGCUGUGUGGCCUGGGGACAGUAGCUUUCCCUUUCUGACCUCGGUUUCUUCAUCAGUAAAAUGAAGAUGCUAAUACCACCUGUCCUGUCUUCCUCAAUGUCUCCAACCAGCAGGUGCCUUUAACAUGCCACGAGGCAAGAGUGAACUCAGGUGGAGGUACUUUGCUAAAAGCAGCCCAGGUAGGAGGAGAUGACUGAGUAGAACUGGCCGUGUUAUCCUCAGAAUGAUUUCUUGCUUCCCCAGGAGACUCCUGUUGCUGUGACGAUUUUUCCUGGUUCUCAGUCCCUGGACUCUGGGAUAGCUGAGAUCUUCUGGCUCUCGCCUCACAUAGCAUCUCACAGUGAUGUCCUGGCUUCCUGCCUAGGCCCCAAUCACCAGUUCUGGUGCUGACCCUGCAGGUCCUAGCUCCCUCCCAGCCGGCCUAGAGACAGGGCCCAGGCUCAUUGGAAGGAACAACAGGAGACUUGCCUGAAAGCCAAAUGUUCUACCCAACAGGACCUGAUUAUGGUGGCCAAGGGGCUGUACCUGGGCAGUCUCACCCAAGGGACACUUCUCAGGGGUCAGGAGAAUUUCAGCUCUGUGUUUACACAUGAUUCUAGGCUGAGGGAGAGAGAAAAAGCAGGGUAGGGGGUGGCAGAUUAGGCGAGGGAAUGUGUCCCCUAGAUGGUCCCUUAGCUCAUAGUGGAAGUGGGCUCUAGAGCGCCUUGCCCAUGCCCUCUUCAUGCUCUAGAGAGGUGGGCAAAGGACAAAGUAUGCGACUACCCAGGAGAACCAGCCUCCAGAUUGAGAUUGGAGAUGAAGGCCACUCAGUCCCCUCCAUUGCAAAAAGAAUAAAAGAAAGGAGUAGGAUUGGCCAUUGCUUGCAAAUAAACAGGAGGGGGCAGUGUUGGGGUAAUGACCUCCAUCCGGGGAGGGUCAGGAAGGGAGCUGUCCUUUACUGGGCACCCAGGAGAUGCACCUGUACAAUUUCAUUCAUUCUCACGACCACCUCGUUAGGUAGGCACUAUCUCUGUGGCUCCAUUUGGCCAAUGAAAAGGAUGAAGAUCUGAGAAGUCAAGUUACACUGCUAGGAAGAGGUUGACUUGGAGUGGAAACCCAGGACUGCCUGUCUGACUGCUGAAUGGGUGCUUUGCGUUCCUUACCUGCCCUCCCAGGGCUCCAGACCGUCCCUCCUGCACAUCUGCCUCUCCCAGGCCGUGCCUGCAUGUCCCCAGCCCCCUCCAACAGCUCCAUCUCCCGAGAGCUCCUUGAAUCUCCUCACUCACUCCUCACUCUUGCUUCCUCUUUGGAAUCCAGCCACAGGCUUUUUUCUUCCAUCUGAGGGAGAGAAAAUGGUCUCGUUCCCCACCCCCAGGUCUUUCCAUCCUCUCAUCCAUCCAAACCUAAGCAUCUCUCACUCCUCCCCUCCCCCUCUCUUAUUUUUUUUUUCUUUCUGUUUAUCCAUCACUAGAAUCUACCCCCCUUCCCUCUUGCCUGUAGGUUCUGUGGCUAUAAACAAAUCAUAACUUUUAUUAAAUUUAAGAUUACUUUUUAAUGGAAUCAAUUUCUUGUGUGGUGCUUCUCUGCCUGCCCGCGGGCUCUGCCGGCUCUGCGCUCAGCAUCCCCACCCGCACAGUUGUCUCUGCCGCUGGCGUUUCUGGCUAAGCUGCCUCUGAAGGAGGGGCAGGUCUGCCAUCCCUAAACACACACAGAGAAACACACACACACAUGCACACACUCCCACACACACACGAAGAUGCACCUUCCUGCAAGGCCCAGACACAGAGCCGCCAAGCCCCAGGUGCCCACACUGAGCGGCAGGGAGUGGGAGAGGGGCAGGGGCAGGAGGAGAGAGCUGCAGAGAGAAAGACUGAGGGUGCAAAACAAAUGCGGAGCCGAGCAGACAUUUCUCAGCCUGUUAAUUUCCUACAGUUCUGUUUUCCAGCCUCAGAAACAAGCUGGUUUCUGCCAGUCCACCCCCUUCCCUCUGACUGCAUUGUGCAGCUGCUGAGCAGAGAGAAGUUGCAGGGAGGAGGGGGUUCCAGAGGAGAAGCGAAGAGACUCAGGUUUUCAUACGAUUUAUCAAAGUACAGGCAAGAUGCAGAGAUGCUUCUGAAGCUGUGACCCCAAAAAGAAGCUCAACUGGGAGAUUUGCAGCCUGGACCAGUCUAACCCUACAGGAGGCUGUUUCAACGGGCUCAGCAACUCCCUCGGUUUGACCCCUGACACAAGCAUGCCUGCUGAAUCUACACCUGGACCUAAAGACUUGUAGAGUCCUUUCUGGGGCUGGAUGUUCCCACAGGACAAUUACCAGUCAUGCAUACAGAGCUUUGCUGCCCAAGGGGACUUUCUGAGGGCUGAAUAUUAUUUACUUCAACUCUCCUUUGACAAGGCACCUGAGGCCCAGAUGGGGAAAGUCACACAGGACUGUGAUGGGGCCUGAUCGAGAUCUCCUGAAUCUUCCCAGUGCUGCUUGCUGUGCUUUGUGGCCCUUCCUCUGGCUGUAACUGUAAUCCCACCUAUACCUUAGGUUGCACAUGCUCAUACAGCGCUUACCAUGAGCCACCCUCUGAGGCAGGUACUGUUAUGAUUCCCAUUUUACAGCUGGGGAGGCUGAGGCUCAGAGAGGUUAAAUACUUCCCUAAGCUAGUAUGUGGUCGAGCUAGAAUUUGAAACCAGAAUGUCCUGCCCCAGAAUCUAGACUCCUAACCACUGGGCUGUGCUACCUCUCUUCUCUGGAAGCUUCACCUGUACCUGGACACAUUUACCUUCACUUUCCUCUUCUCCUGUCCUUAGCUUUCACCACCACCUUCACAAUUUCUCAUUUCAGGCUAAGCCAGAUAAUCACCCCAGACACAAGGGCAGGCUCAGCACUGCUAUCAAAAUCCCUUUUCCUUUUAUCUUCUCCAUCACCAUCUUAGCCUUAUCGCGUUCACUAUCAUGAUCAACUUCACCAUUUAUAAAGUCUCUAAUUGCAAAUGACUGUGUACCUAUAGACCAAUGCAGAUCUAACCCCUGCCUUGGGAUGGGAGGAUGGGGCUUACAGUCAAACCAAACAGCAGUUUAAGCCACAUAUACUCCUCCCUUUGUAAGUAAAGGUACGAAACCAGAAUGUGGAAGGCAGUCUUCUUCUUAAGAGAUUUUUCUGCAAUAAGAUGGAGGUGGUGAAGGAGAAGUUUCGAACAGCCAAAGAGUGCCUGCUGAGGGAAAUUAAUCAAUGGCCAAGAAGAUUGCUUGUCAUCUUUCAAUAUCUAUAAGAAAUAACGAGCCUCCAGAGAGGGAGCUAGAGCUCCAAGGGAAAAGAAGACCAGUGGGUACUCUGUCCAACUCAUGCCUCUAAGGAGCUACAGGAGAAAGAUGGAGCCAUAGGCAGCUUCCACCCCUUUGGAUGGUGGCCAACACCCAUCUCCCCAGCCACAGUAUCUCUCACAGCCCCUGGGGAAGCCAGAAGCAAGCAACACUGCCCAGGAGUUUUAAAACUGAUUCUUCCCUUAAGCUCAAGUCCCACCCACCUCCCAACCCAGUGAGCUUGCUGGUUGGCUGUCCAUGAGUGUUGGCUGCCAGAUGUGCCAUCAUCCGGCACAGGAUGUACAGGAAAGAGGGCAAUGGCUUCCCGGACCAGAGUCUCCACCCAGAAUUCCAGCCAAGGCCCCAGAGCUCCCAGGACCUGGAGAAUUUGUUCCCCCUGGUUGUGUUUGGAAUUGGCUGGUUUUCUGGGCACCAGGCCCAGCUCAGUUUAAUUUUUGUUUAUUUUUAUGUACAGAUUCUCUUCUGUUUGGGGAUGAGCUUUGUGUAAAUUAUUAUUAUUUAUAUGAUAAAGAAUAAAUCACACCAAAUAAAAAAA
rnacentral:lncRNA from 1 species